rnacentral:rRNA from 1 species
AUUGAACGCUGGCGGCAUGCCUUACACAUGCAAGUCGAACGGCAGCACGGGUGCUUGCACCUGGUGGCGAGUGGCGAACGGGUGAGUAAUACAUCGGAACAUGUCCUGUAGUGGGGGAUAGCCCGGCGAAAGCCGGAUUAAUACCGCAUACGAUCUACGGAUGAAAGCGGGGGACCUUCGGGCCUCGCGCUAUAGGGUUGGCCGAUGGCUGAUUAGCUAGUUGGUGGGGUAAAGGCCUACCAAGGCGACGAUCAGUAGCUGGUCUGAGAGGACGACCAGCCACACUUGGACUGAGACACGGCCCAGACUCCUACGGGAGGCAGCAGUGGGGAAUUUUGGACAAUGGGCGAAAGCCUGAUCCAGCAAUGCCGCGUGUGUGAAGAAGGCCUUCGGGUUGUAAAGCACUUUUGUCCGGAAAGAAAUCCUUGGCCCUAAUACGGUCGGGGGAUGACGGUACCGGAAGAAUAAGCACCGGCUAACUACGUG